CCUACGGGAGGCAGCAGUAAGGAAUAUUGGUCAAUGGACGCAAGUCUGAACCAGCCAUGCCGCGUGCAGGAUGAAGGCCCUCUGGGUUGUAAACUGCUUUUAUCUGGGACGAAAAAGGGGCUUUCUAGCUCAACUGACGGUACCAGAGGAAUAAGCACCGGCUAACUCCGUGCCAGCAGCCGCGGUAAUACGGAGGGUGCAAGCGUUAUCCGGAUUUACUGGGUUUAAAGGGUGCGUAGGUGGGUAAGUAAGUCAGUGGUGAAAUCUUCAAGCUUAACUUGGAAACUGCCAUUGAUACUAUUUAUCUUGAAUACUCUGGAGGUAAGCGGAAUAUGUCAUGUAGCGGUGAAAUGCUUAGAUAUGACAUAGAACACCAAUUGCGAAGGCAGCUUACUACAUAGUUAUUGACACUGAGGCACGAAAGCGUGGGGAUCAAACAGGAUUAGAUACCCUGGUAGUCCACGCCCUAAACGAUGGAUACUCGACAUCAGCGAUACACUGUUGGUGUCUGAGCGAAAGCAUUAAGUAUCCCACCUGGAAGUACGACCGCAAGGUUGAAACUCAAAGGAAUUGACGG
rnacentral:rRNA from 1 species